AUGCAUGUCUAAGUUCAGCUUGAGAAUAGUGAAACCGCGAAUGGCUCAUUAAAUCAGUUUUGGUUCAUUUGCUUCCUAAAGUUCAUAUGAAUAACCGCGGUAACCCUGCGGCUAAUGCAUGAGUAUAACUGUUAUGUUGAUACGUCAACCUCUAUCAGUGUUUUUACUAGUAAAGAGCAAGUAGACGUUGUGUCUGAUGAUAUGUGAUGAACUCUGAGUAACUUACCAACCUCAGCAGGCAAUAGCCGGGAGGUGAAGCAUUCGAAUGUCUGACCUAUCAACUUAUGACGGUAGUGUAACGGACUACCGUGGUUGUAACGGGUAACGGGGAAUCAGGGUUCGAUUCCGGAGAGGGAGCCUGAGAAACGGCUACCACAUCUAAGGAAGGCAGCAGGCGCGCAAAUUACCCAAUCUCAGCACGAGGAGGUAGUGACGAAAAGUAACAAUAUGAAGUCUUAUGACUUUGUGAUUGGAAUGGAGUAGGCUUAACACACCUACUGAGGAGCUAGUGGAGGGCAAGUCUGGUGCCAGCAGCCGCGGUAAUACCAGCAUCCACAAGCAUAUGCAAAAGUUGCUGCGUUUAAAAAGCUCGUAGUUGGAUCUGUUAAUUGAGUGGCGUUAACCUUUUGGUGAUGAAUCCAAUCGGGCCGCUUGAUUUUCCGGCUGUCGAAAGUGGUUGCACUUCAUUGUGUUGAUCGCUUGAGACGGAAUAUUUACUUUGAGUAAAUUAGAGUGUUCAAAGCAUCCUUUGGGAUUGCAUACUAAAGCAUGGAAUGAUGGAGGAAGACCUAACAGUUGCGUUGCUUGCGAUUGUGCGGUAAUGAUUAAAAGGAACAGUUGGGGGCAUUAGUAUUGCUACGUUAGAGGUGAAAUUCUUGGAUCGUGGCAAGACUAACUACUGCGAAAGCAUUUGCCAAGAAUGUUUCCAUUAAUCAAGAACGAAAGUUAGAGUAUUGAAGAGGAUUAGAUACCCUCGUAAUUCUAACCAUAAACGAUACCAACUUACGAUCUGGUAAAGUCCUAUAUGACAUGCCAGGGAGUUAACCGGAAAACCAAAGUUUAUUGGCUCCGGGGGAAGUAUGGUUGCAAAAUCGAAACUUAAAGGAAUUGACGGAAGGGCACCACCAGGAGUGGAGCCUGCGGCUUAAUUUGACUCAACACGGGGAACCUCACCAGGUCCAGACAUUGAAAGGAUUGACAGACUGAAUUUUUCUCAUGAUUCUAUGGGUGGUGGUGCAUGGCCGUUCUUAGUUAGUGGAGUGAUCUGUCUGGUUAAUUCCGAUAACGAACGAGAUCCCGGCCGAUUUAAAUAGGGGUUUGAACCUUUGCGUUCGAACAUACUUCUUAGAGGAACUAUGUGGAAUAACGCUACCACAAGGAAGUGGAGCUAUAACAGGUCUGUGAUGCCCUUAGAUGUCCUGGGCCGCACGCGCGCUACACUGACUACUACUGAUUGAGGUUGUUUUGCCUAGUCCGCAAUGGUCCGGGUAAUCACCGCACAGUAGGUCUUCAUGAUUGGAAUGAACUGUUGCAAUUAUCAGUUCUGAACGAGGAAUUCCUAGUAAGCACUAGUCAUCAGCUAGUGUUGAUUACGUCCCUGCCCUUUGUACACACCGCCCGUCGCUACUACUGAUUGGAUGUUCAAGCAAGAACUUUGAAGACUGGCAGCUUUGGCUUCGGCUAAGGCAGUUGGUCGAAGAAGAUCGAGCUUAAGUGUCUA
rnacentral:rRNA from 1 species